rnacentral:rRNA from 1 species
UACGUAGGGCGCAAGCGUUGUCCGGAAUUAUUGGGCGUAAAGAGCUCGUAGGCGGCUUGCUAAGUCAUACGUGAAAUCCCUCGGCUCAACCGAGGAACUGCGUCUGAUACUGGUUGGCUUGAAUUCGGGAGAGGGAUGCGGAAUUCCAGGUGUAGCGGUGAAAUGCGUAGAUAUCUGGAGGAACACCGGUGGCGAAGGCGGCAUCCUGGACCGAGAUUGACGCUGAUGCGCGAAAGCCAGGGGAGCAAACGGG